GUGGGGAAUAUUGGACAAUGGGCGCAAGUCUGAUCCAGCAAUGCCGCGUGGGUGAAGAAGGUCUUCGGAUCGUAAAGCCCUUUCGACAGGGACGAUGAUGACGGUACCUGUAGAAGAAGCCCCGGCUAACUUCGUGCCAGCAGCCGCGGUAAUACGAAGGGGGCUAGCGUUACUCGGAAUUACUGGGCGUAAAGGGCGCGUAGGCGGCUCUGUUAGUCAGGCGUGAAAUUCCUGGGCUUAACCUGGGGACUGCGCUUGAUACUGCAGGGCUUGAGGCCGAGAGAGGGUGGUGGAAUUCCCAGUGUAGAGGUGAAAUUCGUAGAUAUUGGGAAGAACACCGGUGGCGAAGGCGACCACCUGGCUCGGUUCUGACGCUGAGGCGCGACAGCGUGGGGAGCAAACAGGAUUAGAAACCCUAGUCC
rnacentral:rRNA from 1 species